rnacentral:rRNA from 1 species
UACGGAGGGUGCGAGCGUUGUUCGGAAUCACUGGGCGUAAAGCGCGUGUAGGCGGCCAACUAAGUCAGACGUGAAAUCCCCAGGCUCAACCUGGGAACUGCGUCUGAUACUGGAUGGCUUGAGUUUGGGAGAGGGACGCGGAAUUCCAGGUGUAGCGGUGAAAUGCGUAGAUAUCUGGAGGAACACCGGUGGCGAAGGCGGCGUCCUGGACCAACACUGACACUGAGGAGCGAAAGCCAGGGGAGCAAACGGG